GACAUUAUUAUUAUUAUUAUUUUUGAUGAUUGCCAAGGAUGAAUUUUGGAUUGCGCGUCAGAUCAAGUGUACCUAAUAAAGCGGCUGAUGCUUCAGUUGUACUUGGGCAUUCGGUUUCCACCAAGGCAAAAUAAACACGCCGGAAAAGGCGACCGGUGUGCCAAGAUUUCAUCAGCAACUCCCCAAAUUGGUGAGAUUAGCAUUUAAAACAGAGCGAUGACCGUCCUCCAUCUUGUGUCAGCUAAGAUGACGAAGGCCUCCGGGGUGAUUUUGUAUUUCGCCUUGGAAAGGUGUGUGAGGGCACGCGUGUAAAAGUGAAGGUGGGCUGCCUGUGUUUAGUGUCCAAAAGCUGGCAGAUUGUGACCUUAUCAAUGUGAAACUCUUAAGAUAAAUUAUUCAUAACACCUGUUUGAUGUGUCUGGCCAAAGAAUGACAAUUUAAGAAUGUAACUCGACACAAGGGGCCGUUUGAUUUCUUUCUUUUAUUUAUUUAUUUUUUUUAGCGGACUUAAUCAGGUGGGAUGCUGCUGGCAGAACAAACAUUUAAUUAAAAACGUGUUUAUUUUACAGGGUGUAUUGAAGCAACGCGCCAGUCUUUCACAGUCGAGUCUGAAAGUAACCCGAUAUACAAGGCGGUGAGCAACAUGGCUGCCCGGUGUUUUGAAGCACGGAGGGGAUGUGUCAGUGUGGCGCAAGGACCGACGCGGGGGCGAGAUGGACUUUAUGGCUACGGGCUGUGAGCUAGCGGCACGGUGAAGUGGCUCUGUAUUUCUACGCCCACCAGAUAUCAAAGGUCUGCAUUUUAUGAAGAACACACGGCUCGGUUUUGACUGACACUGUCGGAGUCGUCGUUAUUGCGAAAUAUGUUGAUGAUUGUGGUUGUUCUGACAUCGACUAACAGCUGUUUGGACUAUGAUUUUUAAAUUGGUACAACCACAAAAACAAACCAAAAAAAAAACCCAAAAACUUUGCUACAGUAAAUGAAUAAGAGUAAUAAGGGUGGACGGAUGUGGGCACGCUUGGGUUCUGAUUGUACAUUGCACUAGUUUAAGUAACACCCAAAAUGUUUUCUAAUCAAUGUGAUAUUGUUACAAAUAUGAAUCGUGUGAGACUAAUGAAGGCAAAACAUUCUCACAGAAUCCUUAUAUGUGUUUACUUCAUUUCUCUCUCUCUCCCUCUUGCUCCAUUUCUCCAUGUCAUCAGCUUCUCUCAGAUGUUCCCUGUGACCUUUGACCUCAGAGUCGGGGUCAAGCCCUGACAAAUGGGAUGGCCGAGUUCUGACCACAAGCGCCAACAUUCCACAACAAUCUCUCGUCCUCCUCCACUCGCCUCGUAUCCGUGAUAUGUCACCGGGCACUACACUCCCCCCCCACUUUUACGCCGAGCCUCUUCCACGGGCCGGGUAAAGUUCUCAUUAGAACAACAUCGUUUAUUGGGAGUGCUGUGGGAAUCUUUAAACGAAUACAUUUUGGAAUUAAGGAUUACAACAUGAGCUAAAAUUUAAUUUCCCCUAAACAUCCCGCUUGUUUAGACAAGGGGAAGAAAACAAAACGAUCGAGUGGAUAUUACGACCUAGCUCGCCAUGUGAAUGUGUGUGUGUGUGUGUGAGAAAAGCUUGUCAGUGAUGUCAAGGAUGAGAAAUGUUGCAGUGUGGUUUUUACACACACUGCUGGCUCGAGCAUUUCCGGCAACAUUUCUCACUCUGCCUCCCUCGCAGCAUCCACUCUGCUGCAAUAUCCCCACAUUUUUCUAUCGUUUCACAUCAACCCCCACCGGAUCCUCUGCCCCCCUCCCCCCGGCCCCCCCCACACACACUCCACUCAACUGCAAGCCCCCCCCCAUCCGCCCUUUCCUCACAGGCCUCCUCUGGUCAUUCUGUCUCCUUUUCCUCAUGUCUGCUGCCCCAUCUUCACCCAACGUCAACCCUACCCCCCCUUUUAUUUCCCAUCUCAUUCGCUUCCUUCUCCUCCUUCUCCCUCUGCUCAUCUCGCCUCCCGCCGCACGCUCAGAUUUUCUAACAUGCCAUCCCAAAGCGUGCAAACACCUGCAACUGUUUAAGGGUAUAAUAAAUGUCAUCCUGCACGAGGAAGCUAGUUAAGGUAAGUGGCACAUCGCAUACGGCGGUGACGUGGCAAAUAAUGACUUCCGUCGUCGUGUUUGUGUAUGAACGUUCCUUACGGCAUGACUCUGGUUUCCCAAAACGUUAACCCUCUCUUCGAAGUUGGAGUCGCACCACACACGGCUCUAAUAAAAACAACGACGUUCAAUCUGGAGGGGCGUCACUAAAAGAAGCCGAGGCGCAGUAUGAAAAGCAACUGCGAUCCAAAUAAAAAGCUCAAUCUCUUCAUGUGAAUUUGUUCUUUUUCCAUUGUCGGAAUCGUGCUCUCAUUUUAUAUCGUGAGCGUCAUCGGAGGCUAUGCCGAUCUUGGCCUGGUAAGGAAUGUUUCCUCAAAGGCUUGCUGAUGAAUCUAAAAUCUAACGUGGCGAGCAAUGGUUGCAGCGUACGAAGGGUUGGGUCUCUAUUAAAAGGAUAAAUGCUUGAGGAUUAUUUUUUUUUUCUCUGGGCCUUGAGAUCCCCGUCACAUCUGGAUAUCGCUACGAAUCAGGAAUGCCAUGGAGUCCAUAUUUGAAAUGAGUUUCACUUUGCAAUAAAAACGUAGCGUACACAAGGGUCUUCUUGAGUUUGUUGUUUUCCUUACCGUUCAAUCAGCGCAGGUUUUCUCAUUUUCAGUUUUUCACGCCUGCAUUCCCAAAAGCUGCGAAGGGAAACCAAAAAAACUCAUCAGUACUUUACGAACACUCGCGAGCAUCCUAACAACAUCAAAAGACUUCAGCACAGUGUGGUUCAGCGAAUUGGUUGAUGUUGAGCCGUCAUAACCGACGCAAGAACCGCGGUCUUAUGCUUGCAAGUAAAGGAAAAAAUACAGAGAAGCAAGAAAACAAGAGUUCUCCAUUGUCAUCCUCCAUUUAGUCUUCCUUGUUCCUCUUGUUGAGGACACCCCCGCGGUAUGAUGUCACACUAUUUACAUAGCAGAUGCAGCCACUGGGAGAAAGUGCUGGGAACGCAAGCUAGGUCAAGGUUUACUAUUCGAAAUAGCAUCAAAUGAAUACCACGUUUGGUCAAAACGAUUGAUUUUGAUUUCCAGUUCUUCCUCAUUUUUUUUUUUUAAGUGCUUGUUGUCGGGCAUUCAUGGUUAGCUUCCUGCACGCACGUCCAGUGGACAUAAGCGACGAGGCGCCGCAAACAAAUUCCCACCGACAGCCAUCAGCUUGAAGUCGGAGGCGCAAGUGAGCGGCAGACAAACGUGUAGGGGGGGGAAAAGGCGUACAGGCAAAUGUCUAAGCUAUAGCCGUGACACCAUUAGCAGAUUCUGUUUGUGUCACUGCCUCAAGCCUCCAGCUCUCCGUGUCCACGGGCGGCUGAAAGAUGUUGAAAAACGAAAAAGAAAAAGUCUUCAAAGCUCCUUGAUUCCUUGCCACCACCCACGGUUACGGCUAUGUUUUGGAGUGUGGAUGUCUGCCCUGGUCCCGCAGGGCAUCGGCCCCACUUUACCCCACCCCUUCGCAACCAACAAGCGCACCCCACCCCCCACCUCCCUCCCCUCCCUUCCCACCCGCCUUUCCCGACCCCCAGUCUCUCUCCAUCCUCCUGCCUCACUCACUGAUUCAGUGCGUAAAAGCGCCCCCUGAAUGAUGGAUUACUGUGUCACCGCAGCCUGCGAAGGAUUAAUUUGUUUCAUUGAUUUCUCUUUAGGUAGAAUGCCAGCGUCUGCCGUUUCCCACCUUUUCCUCCAAGACUCACAGCUGUAAUAGACGGUAAUGGCUUAAGACAAAUCAACCCAUUUCUUGUAAAAAUAGCAGCGAAUCACCCUCCCCGUCGACCAGCCGGCACUCUACUCACGUACGGGCGAAGGGGUGGUGCUAUGGCGUACCGAGGGCUUCUCCAUUCCCCUUGAUCUCGACCACCCCAUCUGGCAUUGAGUGCACGCCGCCGUCUCCCCACCGCUGCCGAACCAGCGGAGACCUUCCUGCCACUCUGAGGUAGCCGUAAGUCUGUCGUACUUACACAUCCCUCCCAGGUCUCACAAUGGAUGGGUAAUGACAGCGCCGUCUGGGAAAAGGGGGGGAAGGCGGUCGGCCCAUUCUCGCCACUAAUGGAAGCGGUUACCGCUAUUCCCGACACACCUGCGGGAACAGCAAACUAUUAACCAGCGUGAUCUAUGGUAAGGCCUUAGUGCACGAGCUGGAAAGCGUGCGCUGACGCUGAUGAAUCGGGGCACGUCCGACCGGCAUCUUUUUUCGGUGGCCGGUGGCUUCACGUUAGUCGUAUGUGUGAAGAAAAGCCAGUCAUUUCGAAACAAAUACGUGAUAUCAUGGCUCACAAGCAAAGCGAGCCGUACAAGGCAGCUUUCCUGACAUCUGCUGAUUUAGCGCGGCCAUAAGAUGCUACUACAUCUUUACUAGCCUGUCGCUACUUUGAACGAUGGGAAACCCAAAGUGGCGGUAACAUUAAGCACAGCACUACAGGCUAACUGUCCUCAAACGGUUUCCAAUCCCAAGGAGAUUUAUGAGCAAGACCAGAUCCAUUAAUCCAUUGUCGAUUUGCUGUGGCUGCCCUGCGGGGCAUUUUGGUAUCAGAUAUCAUAGCAGGGUAACACCGUGACUCUUGUUAAAAUGUUCUACCCAACCAGUUUGGAGACUGUAGAAGUGUAAAGUGUAGUCUAUUGCUUGAAAUUGCUAAUGUCCUAAUAAUAUUCCUGUGCGUCCAUGAAAUAUACAUCGUUUAAACCAGGGGUGUCAAACUCAUUUUUUGUCGCGGGCCAUUUCGGAGUUAACGGCUUCCCUCGGAGGGCGGGUGCAAAAUCUCAACGUUAUUUAUUACCCAUGACAAUUUGACAUUUCAGUACAGAUUUCGGCAAGAAUCAUGAUACAGUAGUUGACACACAUGAUUUGCUCCUGUGGGCCCACAUAAAAUGACCUAAGGGGCCGGAUCUGGCCCCCAGGCCUUGACUUUGACACCCGUGGUUUAAAUGUAUAUGACCUCACGAGACAAGCCAUUCUCUUCUCUGUUAAACACAAAACUUGUGAAUACCAUUCUCUCAUAAAUGACGAAUGAAUGACAGACUUCAACCCGGGAACGGCUGCGCAACCUUAACGCAAAUACCUAUCUCUCAGAAUUUAGGCGGUGACAUCGUUCAACAUCCGUGAUAAUAACCUCCGCUGCAAGAUAAUCUCAUCGGCUCCUUGCGAUCAAUGCAGCCGUGUCUCCAAAGCUUUGGGCUGCGGCUUAUGCUUGGCAAUAGACAACUGGUCAUCCCGGUGUUCUGCCACAUGCCCGUGCAAAGACAGCUUCUCCUGGGGCUUGUUCAACGAAGGGUACAUCUAUUCUCAGGGGUCCCCAUGUUCUGAAGUGCCUCCAGAAAAGCUUCGUUGGCAGGCUGGCCUUCCUGACCAGGAUCUGAAGCCAGAUCUCCCUGCCCCUAAUCAGGAGGACAACCCACUGAUCCAUGCAGCCACCACCAAUGUUUUCCAAAAGUGUUCUCCUUCAGUACACCUGUUCAAAAUGGUGGCCACCUUCAACUCUGGGCCUAAAUAAAGAAAACAACCUUGGACAAAAGCAACCCGAUCUUCUCAAAAUCCACCCAUCUACCCAGCGAGUGAAGUUGGAAACCAAAACAACAAUUUUUAGCGUGAACUUAUCAAGAACUGCAAGAAUAGGUGGAAAAACCGUUUGGCGAAAUGCGAUCCAUUUUACCGGGCCGACGACAUGCGCCAGAGUGCGUGUAAAGAGCAUUCUCCUCGGUGAAUUGUGUUUUCUUGCACCUCUGCAGACAUUACAGAUUAUAAAUGAUUGAGGCGUGGAUGGCUGUCUUUACUCGAGUGAGGAUCAUUUUUUCCCGAAGCAAGGCAAUCCCAGAACGGAGGGAGGAAUGUCAAAAAGAAAUUUGCAUGCGUAGUUACUCCCAUAUCCACGCGCGUACAGUACAGCGGCGAGAGGGAGAGCGCUGGAGAGAGAGAGAGAGAGAGAGAGAGAGAGAGUGAGACAGGGACCAAUGAGGCAGUUUAUAUCGGGAUUUUGUCUCACAGCCGCGGCCUCCUGGGAGAGAGGGGUCUGCCAAUAACACUUAAGAGACAGAGCAGGAAAAGUAAGUGCUUUUAUUACAGCUCAUCACUCAUGUAAUUUCUGGCAGCAUUUGUGAUUACAGAUCAAGUGAUUGACUAACUACACAUUUGGCAGCUGAGUUAUGAGCCGGGGUUGCCUACCGUUGCAGCCCAGGCAGACAGUGCGCGUCAAGCUGUAACUCAUCCCUCAUCCCGGGGCGCUAAAUCAAAGAACGCACGGCCGCCGGAAGAGUUAAAUCAUAACAUCGUUUCUAUUGUACAUCUGUCAGAAAUUAA